UUAAGCGACUAAGCGUACACGGUGGAUGCCCUGGCAGUCAGAGGCGAUGAAGGACGUGCUAAUCUGCGAUAAGCGUCGGUAAGGUGAUAUGAACCGUUAUAACCGGCGAUUUCCGAAUGGGGAAACCCAGUGUGAUUCGUCACACUAUCAUUAACUGAAUCCAUAGGUUAAUGAGGCGAACCGGGGGAACUGAAACAUCUAAGUACCCCGAGGAAAAGAAAUCAACCGAGAUUCCCCCAGUAGCGGCGAGCGAACGGGGAGGAGCCCAGAGCCUGAAUCAGUGUGUGUGUUAGUGGAAGCGUCUGGAAAGGCGCGCGAUACAGGGUGACAGCCCCGUACACAAAAAUGCACAUGCUGUGAGCUCGAUGAGUAGGGCGGGACACGUGGUAUCCUGUCUGAAUAUGGGGGGACCAUCCUCCAAGGCUAAAUACUCCUGACUGACCGAUAGUGAACCAGUACCGUGAGGGAAAGGCGAAAAGAACCCCGGCGAGGGGAGUGAAAAAGAACCUGAAACCGUGUACGUACAAGCAGUGGGAGCACNNNNNNNNNNGUGUGACUGCGUACCUUUUGUAUAAUGGGUCAGCGACUUAUAUUCUGUAGCAAGGUUAACCGAAUAGGGGAGCCGAAGGGAAACCGAGUCUUAACUGGGCGUUAAGUUGCAGGGUAUAGACCCGAAACCCGGUGAUCUAGCCAUGGGCAGGUUGAAGGUUGGGUAACACUAACUGGAGGACCGAACCGACUAAUGUUGAAAAAUUAGCGGAUGACUUGUGGCUGGGGGUGAAAGGCCAAUCAAACCGGGAGAUAGCUGGUUCUCCCCGAAAGCUAUUUAGGUAGCGCCUCGUGAAUUCAUCUCCGGGGGUAGAGCACUGUUUCGGCAAGGGGGUCAUCCCGACUUACCAACCCGAUGCAAACUGCGAAUACCGGAGAAUGUUAUCACGGGAGACACACGGCGGGUGCUAACGUCCGUCGUGAAGAGGGAAACAACCCAGACCGCCAGCUAAGGUCCCAAAGUCAUGGUUAAGUGGGAAACGAUGUGGGAAGGCCCAGACAGCCAGGAUGUUGGCUUAGAAGCAGCCAUCAUUUAAAGAAAGCGUAAUAGCUCACUGGUCGAGUCGGCCUGCGCGGAAGAUGUAACGGGGCUAAACCAUGCACCGAAGCUGCGGCAGCGACGCUGAUGCGUUGUUGGGUAGGGGAGCGUUCUGUAAGCCUGUGAAGGUGUACUGUGAGGUAUGCUGGAGGUAUCAGAAGUGCGAAUGCUGACAUAAGUAACGAUAAAGCGGGUGAAAAGCCCGCUCGCCGGAAGACCAAGGGUUCCUGUCCAACGUUAAUCGGGGCAGGGUGAGUCGACCCCUAAGGCGAGGCCGAAAGGCGUAGUCGAUGGGAAACAGGUUAAUAUUCCUGUACUUGGUGUUACUGCGAAGGGGGGACGGAGAAGGCUAUGUUGGCCGGGCGACGGUUGUCCCGGUUUAAGCGUGUAGGCUGGUUUUCCAGGCAAAUCCGGAAAAUCAAGGCUGAGGCGUGAUGACGAGGCACUACGGUGCUGAAGCAACAAAUGCCCUGCUUCCAGGAAAAGCCUCUAAGCAUCAGGUAACAUCAAAUCGUACCCCAAACCGACACAGGUGGUCAGGUAGAGAAUACCAAGGCGCUUGAGAGAACUCGGGUGAAGGAACUAGGCAAAAUGGUGCCGUAACUUCGGGAGAAGGCACGCUGAUAUGUAGGUGAAGUCCCUCGCGGAUGGAGCUGAAAUCAGUCGAAGAUACCAGCUGGCUGCAACUGUUUAUUAAAAACACAGCACUGUGCAAACACGAAAGUGGACGUAUACGGUGUGACGCCUGCCCGGUGCCGGAAGGUUAAUUGAUGGGGUCAGCGCAAGCGAAGCUCUUGAUCGAAGCCCCGGUAAACGGCGGCCGUAACUAUAACGGUCCUAAGGUAGCGAAAUUCCUUGUCGGGUAAGUUCCGACCUGCACGAAUGGCGUAAUGAUGGCCAGGCUGUCUCCACCCGAGACUCAGUGAAAUUGAACUCGCUGUGAAGAUGCAGUGUACCCGCGGCAAGACGGAAAGACCCCGUGAACCUUUACUAUAGCUUGACACUGAACAUUGAGCCUUGAUGUGUAGGAUAGGUGGGAGGCUUUGAAGUGUGGACGCCAGUCUGCAUGGAGCCGACCUUGAAAUACCACCCUUUAAUGUUUGAUGUUCUAACGUUGACCCGUAAUCCGGGUUGCGGACAGUGUCUGGUGGGUAGUUUGACUGGGGCGGUCUCCUCCUAAAGAGUAACGGAGGAGCACGAAGGUUGGCUAAUCCUGGUCGGACAUCAGGAGGUUAGUGCAAUGGCAUAAGCCAGCUUGACUGCGAGCGUGACGGCGCGAGCAGGUGCGAAAGCAGGUCAUAGUGAUCCGGUGGUUCUGAAUGGAAGGGCCAUCGCUCAACGGAUAAAAGGUACUCCGGGGAUAACAGGCUGAUACCGCCCAAGAGUUCAUAUCGACGGCGGUGUUUGGCACCUCGAUGUCGGCUCAUCACAUCCUGGGGCUGAAGUAGGUCCCAAGGGUAUGGCUGUUCGCCAUUUAAAGUGGUACGCGAGCUGGGUUUAGAACGUCGUGAGACAGUUCGGUCCCUAUCUGCCGUGGGCGCUGGAGAACUGAGGGGGGCUGCUCCUAGUACGAGAGGACCGGAGUGGACGCAUCACUGGUGUUCGGGUUGUCAUGCCAAUGGCACUGCCCGGUAGCUAAAUGCGGAAGAGAUAAGUGCUGAAAGCAUCUAAGCACGAAACUUGCCCCGAGAUGAGUUCUCCCUGACUCCUUGAGAGUCCUGAAGGAACGUUGAAGACGACGACGUUGAUAGGCCGGGUGUGUAAGCGCAGCGAUGCGUUGAGCUAACCGGUACUAAUGAACCGUGAGGCUUAACCUU
rnacentral:rRNA from 1 species